UUAAGUGAAUAAGGGCGCACGGAGGAUGCCUUGGCACUAGGAGUCGAAGAAGGACGCGACAAACGGCGAAACGCCUCGGGGAGCUGUAAGUGAGCAUUGAUCCGGGGGUAUCCGAAUGGGGAAACCCGCUAGUGGUUAUACGCUAGCACCAUAUGGUGAAUACAUAGCCAUAUAGGAGACAGACCCAGGGAACUGAAACAUCUAAGUACCUGGAGGAAAAGAAAGAAAAAUCGAUUCCCGUAGUAGCGGCGAGCGAAGUGGGAAGAGCCCAAACCGGAUUUAUCCGGGGUUGUAGGACCUUCAUAAUUGACAAAUCAUGAUAGCCGAAUGGUCUGGGAAGGCCAACCGUAGGGGGUGAGAGUCCCGUAGGUGAAAUUGUGAGAUGCAUGGAAGGAAUCCUGAGUACGGCGGGACACGUGGAAUCCCGUCGGAAUCAACGAGGACCAUCUCGUAAGGCUAAAUACUACCUAGUGACCGAUAGUGAACCAGUACCGUGAGGGAAAGGUGAAAAGAACCCCGGAAGGGGAGUGAAAGAGAACCUGAAACCGUGUGCCUACAAAUAGUCAGAGCCCGUUAAUGGGUGAUGGCGUGCCUUUUGUAGAAUGAACCGGCGAGUUACGAUAUCGUGCGAGGUUAAGCAGAAGAUGCGGAGCCGUAGCGAAAGCGAGUCUGAAUAGGGCGAAGAGUACGAUGUUGUAGACCCGAAACCGUGUGAGCUAGCCAUGAGCAGGCUGAAGGUCAGGUAACACUGACUGGAGGGCCGAACCAGGGCACGUUGAAAAGUGCUUGGAUGACUUGUGGCUAGGGGUGAAAUUCCAAUCGAACUCGGAUAUAGCUGGUUCUCUCCGAAAUAGCUUUAGGGCUAGCCUCGAUGUUAAGUCUACUGGAGGUAGAGCACUGAAUGGGUGAUGGCCCCACCUCGGGGUACUGAUCUCAAUCAAACUCCGAAUGCCAGAUAGAUAUAAUCGGGAGUCAGACUGUGGGUGAUAAGGUCCAUGGUCAAAAGGGAAAGAGCCCAGACCGCCAGCUAAGGCCCCCAAGUGUCCGUUAAGUGGAAAAGGAUGUGGAGAUGCACAGACAACUAGGAGGUUGGCUUAGAAGCAGCCAUCCUUUAAAGAGUGCGUAAUAGCUCACUAGUCGAGUGACUCUGCGCCGAAAAUGUACCGGGGCUAAACGGACCGCCGAAGCUGCGGAUUGACUUUAGAGUCAGUGGUAGGAGAGCGUUCUAACAGCGGUGAAGCAGUACCGGAAGGAGCUGUGGAGCGGUUAGAAGUGAGAAUGCCGGUGUGAGUAGCGAAAGAUAGGUGAGAAUCCUAUCCAUCGAAAGCCUAAGGUUUCCAGGGGAAGGCUCGUCCGCCCUGGGUAAGUCGGGACCUAAGGUGAGGCCGAAAGGCGUAGCCGAUGGACAACAGGUUGAUAUUCCUGUACCACUUAUUAAACUGAUGGAGUGACGGAGAAGGCUAAGUUGAGCGUGUGAUUGGAUUCACGUGUAAGCAGUGAGGUGGUCAUGUAGGCAAAUCCGCAUGGCAUAACAUUGAGCUGUGAUGCCGAAGCCGACUGGCGAAGUCAACUGACGUCACGCUUCCAAGAAAAGCUUCUAGGGUUAAUUUAAUAAGUGCCCGUACCGAUAACCGACACAGGUAGGCGAGGAGAGAAUCCUAAGAUGAGCGAGAGAACUCUUGUUAAGGAACUCGGCAAAAUGACCCCGUAACUUCGGGAGAAGGGGUGCUUGUGAAAGCAAGCCGCAGUGAAUAGGCCCAGGCGACUGUUUAUCAAAAACACAGGUCUCUGCUAAACCGCAAGGUGAUGUAUAGGGGCUGACGCCUGCCCGGUGCUGGAAGGUUAAGAGGAGAGGUUAGCGCAAGCGAAGCUUUGAAUUGAAGCCCCAGUAAACGGCGGCCGUAACUAUAACGGUCCUAAGGUAGCGAAAUUCCUUGUCGGG
rnacentral:rRNA from 1 species